AAAGGACAAGUAGACAUCAAUAGGCUUUAAGUAUCAUUUUACAAUACAUUAAGACCAAAUUUUUCUCCAAAGAAAGGACUCUAAUAAUUUUAAUACGAAAACAAUUUAAAGAGAUUUAGAAAUUCACUUUACUUUUCCAGAGCUAUGACUACUCUGAAAAUCAAGGUACAGCUGUAGCUCCUGUUGCCAAACUCUGAAUCCAGAAUUCUCUUCCACCUGCAGGCCAGUGCACCUGUGUCACCACCACCAGCGCUAGCCCCUGGCAAUCCCCCACCCUUUUCUCCCCCUACUGCGCCUGCACUUCAACCACACCAAACAACUUUUCACUGGCCACAUAGGACACGGCCUCUCUUUACCUCUUUACCGUUGUGCAACUACGUAUGUGUGUGUGAGAGCGCAUGCGCAUGUGUGCUCUACGAGAAUCUCAGAAGAGAUGCUACUUGAACGUUAGAGGAGUAAUGAGGGAACUACAACACUAAAAGGAAGCUCCAGGGAGAUGAAGAUGAACAGAAAAAAGAAAACAAUGAUUGAAAGCUUGGGGCAAGACGCUGGAGGGCAUCUGUGACGAGCAAAAAGUACUGAGUUCUGUCAAGUUCACACGAAACGGAAAUUCACAGAAGUCAACACUUCCAAUCAAUGCAAAUGAUCUUGAUGGAGAAAUUGACAAGAUUUACUGAGGGAUGUAUCCAGGCGCCUUCUCUUGUCAGGCCAUAGAAUCCCCAAGCUCUGUGAUCUGUCAUUAAACUAACUGGGGGACCCAGGAAUUGGUGCUGGGGCAAGGUCAGGAACAGAAAAAAAAAAGUUUAAGACAGGAUAAAAGAGCAAUUUUAAAAUCAUUACUUUUUAACAAUGAACACAGCUAUUAUGCUGAACCCCAAAUCAUGGAUGUGAUUGUCAAAAAGACAAAAGAAUAGCAGGAUAAACUGUUGAAACCAAUCUCUUUAUAGUAGAUAGUAAAAAUCGCAUUGCAAUUCAAAAGAUAAAUGGCAAUUAAGUAGUUUCUGUUAAGUGUUUAUUGUUCACCUUUUAUGUGGGUGGCCUUUUAAGUGAUUUUCUUUUUAAAGGAAAAGAAAGUUUGUUCUCUCCACCAUUUGAACCAAACAUGAUGCAAAUGCAUGCAACCAUCAAUUUUUAAAUAAUAAUCGUCUUGAUUUUCUAAGCCGAUAAACCAACCACCAUGCACCACUUCCUUUUCAGGCGGUUGUUUGCUUGGCUUAUCACGGUUAACUAUUGCACUGUGCCUCUGCAUGAAGACGGUAAUGUAAUUAAAUCCUAUUAACACAUCAGGAAUAAAGCCCUUUAAUGGGCACACAAGGCUUUGAGAGGCAGCUCGUUCCUGAGCAGAUUUAAUAUCCUUAAAUUAAGCAAGUGUGAAUGGGAAGAUGAAUCUUAUUAAAAACUUAAAUCUGA